GAAGCAACGCGCAGAACCUUACCAGCCCUUGACAUUUAGUGACCGCUACGGAGACGUAGCUUUCCUUCGGGACACUAGGACAGGUGCUGCAUGGCUGUCGUCAGCUCGUGUCGUGAGAUGUUGGGUUAAGUCCCGCAACGAGCGCAACCCUCGUCCUUAGUUGCCAGCAUUUGGUUGGGCACUCUAGGGAGACUGCCGGUGAUAAGCCGGAGGAAGGUGGGGAUGACGUCAAGUCCUCAUGGCCCUUAUGGGCUGGGCUACACACGUGCUACAAUGGCGGUGACAGUGGGCAGCAAGAUCGCAAGGUCAAGCUAAUCUCCAAAAACCGUCUCAGUUCGGAUUGUUCUCUGCAACUCGAGAGCAUGAAGUUGGAAUCGCUAGUAAUCGUAGAUCAGCAUGCUACGGUGAAUACGUUCCCGGGCCUUGUACACACCGCCCGUCACACCAUGGGAGUUGGGUUUACCCGAAGGUGGUGCGCUAACCAGCAAUGGAGGCAGCCAACCACGGUAGGCUCAGCGACUGGGGUGAAGUCGUAACAAGGUAACCGUA
rnacentral:rRNA from 1 species